AGUUCAGAAGUUAAGCCACCCUGAGAAAUUACUGGUUAUUUCUUUUGAUGCACAGCAUUACCAAAAAAGCAUGCAGCUGAAAGUGAUCCUGGUGGGCUUGGCCCUCUUUGGCCUUAUUGUGGCAGAGAGCAGUGCCAUGCCGGCAAGCAGCUCCAGUGAUGCCGAGGCCCGGGCUGAUCCCGAGACUGCUGAGCGUGCCGAGCAGGGCAGCGCCGAGGAGGCACGCAUCAGCGAGGCAUGCAUGGCUUCACUGUGCGGGUAAUAACCUGACGCAAGAGAGUGACACCUUCUAAAGAUCGUCUCCCGCAAAAAUAGCACG
rnacentral:lncRNA from 1 species